GACGAACGCUGGCGGCGUGCUUAACACAUGCAAGUCGAACGGAAAGGCCCAUCUGGGGGUAGUUUUGCUGCGAACGGGCGGGCAACACGGGAGUAACCGGCCCUUGACUUCGGGGUAACUGCAGACAACUGGGGCCAAUACCGGAUAGGACUUAUCGCCGCAUGGCGGGGGUUGGGAAGCUUCGGCGGUCUUGGCCGGAGUUGCGGCGUAUCAGCUUGAUGGUGGGGUAGUGGCUUACCAGCGCGUUGACGGGUAGCCGGACUGAGGGGGCGACCGGCCGCACUGACACUGAGAUGCGGCCCAGACUGCGACUGGAGGCAGCAGUGGGGAAUAUUGCACAAUGGGCGGAAGCCUGAUGCAGCAGCGCCGCGUGCUGGAUGACAGCCUUCGGGUUGUAAACCGGUUUCAGCAUGAGCGAAGCGUGUAGUGACGGUACCUGCAGAAGAAGCACCGGCUAACUACGUG
rnacentral:rRNA from 1 species